UGGGCAACCUGCCCUCAGCUCUGGGAUAACUCCAAGAAAUUGGGGCUAAUACCGGAUAUGACUGCUGACCGCAUGGUCUGGUGGUGGAAGGAUUUAUCGGCUGGGGAUGGGCCCCGCGGCCUAUCAGCUUGUUGGUGGGGUAGUGGCCUACCAAGGCGACGACGGGUAGCCGGCCUGAGAGGGUGACCGGCCACACUGGGACUGAGACACGGCCCAGACUCCUACGGGAG
rnacentral:rRNA from 1 species